rnacentral:rRNA from 1 species
AGUAAUGCUUGGGAAUCUAGCUUAUGGAGGGGGAUAACUACGGGAAACUGUAGCUAAUACCGCGUAGAAUCGAGAGAUGAAAGUGUGGGACCUUCGGGCCACAUGCCAUAGGAUGAGCCCAAGUGGGAUUAGGUAGUUGGUGAGGUAAAGGCUCACCAAGCCGACGAUCUCUAGCUGGCCUGAGAGGAUGACCAGCCACACUGGGACUGAGACACGGCCCAG